rnacentral:rRNA from 1 species
ACUUUACAAUGCGAGAAAUCGUGAUAAGGGAACCCCGAGUGCCCGUAAAUUCGGGCUGUCCAUCAGUGUAAAUAACUGGUGAAGAAAGGGCCGGGCAAGACCGGUGCCAGCCGCCGCGGUAAUACCGGCGGCUCGAGUGGUGGCCACUAUUACUGGGCUUAAAGCGUCCGUAGCUGGAUUGUUAAGUCUCUUGGGAAAUCCACCGGCUCAACCGAUGGGCGUUCAGGAGAAACUGGCAAUCUAGGGACCGGGAGAGGUGAGAGGUACUCCAGGGGUAGGAGUGAAAUCCUGUAAUCCUUGGGGGACCACCUGUGGCGAAGGCGUCUCACUAGAACGGCUCCGACAGUGAGGGACGAAAGCUGGGGGAGCAAACCGG